rnacentral:rRNA from 1 species
UACGUAGGGGGCAAGCGUUGUCCGGAUUUACUGGGCGUAAAGAGCGCGCAGGCGGUUCAUCAAGUCGAAUGUGAAAGCCCACGGCUCAACCGUGGAGGGUCAUUGGAAACUGGGAGACUUGAGUGCAGAAGAGAAGAGUGGAAUUCCACGUGUAGCGGUGAAAUGCGUAGAGAUGUGGAGGAACACCAGUGGCGAAGGCGGCUUUCUGGUCUGUAACUGACGCUGAGGCGCGAAAGCGUGGGGAGCAAACAGG